UACGAAGGGUGCUAGCGUUGCUCGGAAUUACUGGGCGUAAAGGGUUUGUAGGCGGUCUUUUAAGCUAGUGGUGAAAGCCCAGGGCUCAACCCUGGAAUUGCCAUUAGAACUGGAAGGCUAGAGAGUGUUAGAGGUAAGUGGAAUUCCUAGUGUAGGAGUGAAAUCCGUAGAGAUUAGGAGGAAUAUCGAUGGCGAAGGCAGCUUACUGGGACAUUUCUGACGCUGAAAAACGAAAGCGUGGGUAGCAAACAGG
rnacentral:rRNA from 1 species